UACCAGCUCUCCGAGUUGUAGGGAUGAUUAUUGGGCUUAAAGCGUCCGUAGCUGGCUUAGCAAGUCCCCUGUUAAAUUCAGCGACCUAAUCGUUGAGCCGCGGGAGAUACUACUAGGCUAGGAGGCGGGAGAGGUCGACGGUACAUUCGGGGUAGGGGUGAAAUCCUAUAAUCCCGGGAGGACCACCAGUGGCGAAGGCUGUCGACUAGAACGCGCUCGACGGUGAGGGACGAAAGCUGGGGGAGCGAACUGGAUUAGAUACCCGGGUAGUCCCAGCUGUAAACUAUGCGGGCUAGGUGUUGGGGUGGCUACGGGCCACUUCAGUGCCGCAGGAAAGCCAUUAAGCCCGCCGCCUGGGGAGUACGGCCGCAAAGCUGAACUUAAAGGAAUUGGCGGGGAGCACCACAAGGCGUGAAGCUUGCGGUUC
rnacentral:rRNA from 1 species